AUUGAACGCUGGCGGCAGGCUUAACACAUGCAAGUCGAGCGGGGGAAGGUAGCUUGCUACCGGACCUAGCGGCGGACGGGUGAGUAAUGCUUAGGAAUCUGCCUAUUAGUGGGGGACAACAUCUCGAAAGGGAUGCUAAUACCGCAUACGUCCUAUGGGAGAAAGCAGGGGAUCUUCGGACCUUGCGCUAAUAGAUGAGCCUAAGUCGGAUUAGCUAGUUGGUGGGGUAAAGGCCUACCAAGGCGACGAUCUGUAGCGGGUCUGAGAGAAUGAUCCGACACACUGGGACUGAGACACGGCCCAGACUCCUACGGGAGGCAGCAGUGGGGAAUAUUGGACAAUGGGGGGAACCCUGAUCCAGCCAUGCCGCGUGUGUGAAGAAGGCCUUAUGGUUGUAAAGCACUUUAAGCGAGGAGGAGGCUACUUUAGUUAAUACCUAGAGAUAGUGGACGUUACUCGCAGAAUAAGCACCGGCUAACUCUGUGCCAGCAGCCGCCGUAAAAC
rnacentral:rRNA from 1 species